UGGGCGGAGGGAGCGCCGGCUUCCAGAGACCUCCUGGAGGGAUGUUUGGGUGUGCCCUCUCAGCGUCCCCUCCACCGCCAUCUCCACACCCUUGCCGCGCCCAUGCACUCGUCGACCAGGCCAAGGUUUCUCCUGGCCCUUCCCAGCUUCCGGCGCUUCGCUCCAGACCAGGUCGCAGGGCCGGGCGGUGCCAGGAGUUCACGAGUCCUCUGUUUACUGUUUGGUUUCCACGGUGAUACGUAGGUGCCGUCAGCGACUCCCGUCACCGCCUCGCAGCGCGGCCCCCACCCGGCGCCGUGACGUCAGCCCGCCGCUUCCGCUCUGCCCAUAUUUGGCUCAGCCACUCUGCCGCCGGCCGCGGUAGGCUGGGGGCGGGACUCCCGCUGCGUCCAGCCCCCGGUCCCUGCCCCGCCCCCUGGAAUGCUGGGUGAAGGCUCCAAGCCGCGAGACCCCCGCCCCCUGCCCCGGGACCCGCGAGGGCGGAGGCGAGGGCGGGGGCGUUGGGGGUCCAGAGAGAGGGUUCCGCGAUUGAUGGAUAAGCUGUUUCCAGCAUUCCUAUGCGUCUCCUAGUUGAGGCUGCAGUCAAGAUUUGGGGCGGUCUCGUUUGUUGUGGGUGGCUGAUCUGGGAUCACGAUUUUCUCACUCUGUGCCCGGAAAUCAUGCCAUCCCUCGCCCAACGCUGUAUUUUAUAGGCUUCAACUAAAAAUUUUCCUUCAUGGCGCAGUGGAAAGCUUUGAAGACCGCAGUUCUGGGGCUGAAUACGAAGGCAACUCGGAUUAAGAAGACGGCUGCUUUCCAACUGCCCUCCCGCCCUGCAGCUGGCUGAUUUGAGGAAGGGGCUGGGAUCCUUCGCUUGCUCUCUAGUUUUUCUUGGAGUUACAGCAGUCCCGCGGCAGCUCUGCCCCCUGGUGCACCUGUGAGGCAGCGCGCCCUUCUCCAAUUGAGACGCAUCUUCGCGCUGCUGCCAGCAAGGGGAAGAGGUUUUCUGUAUUUCACUCUGGUGGAAAUAGCAAAACUGGACAGAAAAAAACCCCAAGCCAAACCAAAAUACACGAACCAUUCUAGUC